rnacentral:tRNA from 1 species
GGGGAUUUAGUUCAGCGGUAGAGCGCUUGCCUAGCAAGCGCAAGGCCCUGGGUUCGAUCCCCAGCUCCG